AUUGAACGCUGGCGGCAGGCCUAACACAUGCAAGUCGAGCGAGCGGCGGACGGGUGAGUAAUGUCUGGGAAAAUGCCUGCUGGAGGGGGAUAACUACUGGAAACGGUAGCUAAUACCGCAUACCAUAAGAUGUGCCCAGAUGGGAUUAGCUGGUAGGUGGGGUAACGGCUCACCUAGGCGACGAUCCCUAGCUGGUCUGAGAGUAUGAACAGCCACACUGUAACGGCGACACGGUCCAGACUCCGACGUGAGGCAGCAGUGGGGAAUAUUGCACAAUGGUCGCAAGCCUGAUGCAGCCAUGCCGCGUGUGUGAAGAAGGCCGUCGGGUUGUAAAGCACGUUCAGCGGGGAGGCGUUACCCGCAGAAGAAGCACCGGCUAACUCCGUGCCAGCAGCCGCGGUAAUUC
rnacentral:rRNA from 1 species